rnacentral:other from 1 species
GCAGGGCUGUCUGAUGCGAUUAACCGCAUAGUCUAUCCGAGCCAACAUGAUAUUUUAUAGGGAGCUGUCUCUGUUCAGAUCGUGGUCUGAUUAUAUGGCACCCACCUUGACUAAAGCGGUUCGAUAUGAAUGUUGAGUAUUUUGUUAAGCGGUCAGACGGCUCUGUC